UUGAUAAAUAGGCUUAUAAUUUCACAGAUGUGCAAAGACAAUUUGGUGUGGAAUAUUCUGCAUUCGACGAAAUAGAUCAUUUUGCAAGAGCUGCAAUAGUCGACGUCUGCGGAGAAGAAUUUUUGGAGCUUAUAACACAGCCAGGAUUUGGUCCGUCGCAGCCAGAGGAA